GGUACUGUAGCUCAGUGGUUAAAAUGUAGGACUACUGAUCAGAAGGUUGUGAGUUUAAAUCUCAACGCUACCA